rnacentral:rRNA from 1 species
GGUUAAGCGACUAAGCGUACACGGUGGAUGCCCUGGCAGUCAGAGGCGAUGAAGGACGUGCUAAUCUGCGAUAAGCGUCGGUAAGGUGAUAUGAACCGUUAUAACCGGCGAUUUCCGAAUGGGGAAACCCAGUGUGUUUCGACACACUAUCAUUAACUGAAUCCAUAGGUUAAUGAGGCGAACCGGGGGAACUGAAACAUCUAAGUACCCCGAGGAAAAGAAAUCAACCGAGAUUCCCCCAGUAGCGGCGAGCGAACGGGGAGGAGCCCAGAGCCUGAAUCAGUGUGUGUGUUAGUGGAAGCGUCUGGAAAGGCGCGCGAUACAGGGUGACAGCCCCGUACACAAAAAUGCACAUACUGUGAGCUCGAUGAGUAGGGCGGGACACGUGGUAUCCUGUCUGAAUAUGGGGGGACCAUCCUCCAAGGCUAAAUACUCCUGACUGACCGAUAGUGAACCAGUACCGUGAGGGAAAGGCGAAAAGAACCCCGGCGAGGGGAGUGAAAAAGAACCUGAAACCGUGUACGUACAAGCAGUGGGAGCCUCUUUUAUGGGGUGACUGCGUACCUUUUGUAUAAUGGGUCAGCGACUUAUAUUCUGUAGCAAGGUUAACCGAAUAGGGGAGCCGAAGGGAAACCGAGUCUUAACUGGGCGUUAAGUUGCAGGGUAUAGACCCGAAACCCGGUGAUCUAGCCAUGGGCAGGUUGAAGGUUGGGUAACACUAACUGGAGGACCGAACCGACUAAUGUUGAAAAAUUAGCGGAUGACUUGUGGCUGGGGGUGAAAGGCCAAUCAAACCGGGAGAUAGCUGGUUCUCCCCGAAAGCUAUUUAGGUAGCGCCUCGUGAAUUCAUCUCCGGGGGUAGAGCACUGUUUCGGCAAGGGGGUCAUCCCGACUUACCAACCCGAUGCAAACUGCGAAUACCGGAGAAUGUUAUCACGGGAGACACACGGCGGGUGCUAACGUCCGUCGUGAAGAGGGAAACAACCCAGACCGCCAGCUAAGGUCCCAAAGUCAUGGUUAAGUGGGAAACGAUGUGGGAAGGCCCAGACAGCCAGGAUGUUGGCUUAGAAGCAGCCAUCAUUUAAAGAAAGCGUAAUAGCUCACUGGUCGAGUCGGCCUGCGCGGAAGAUGUAACGGGGCUAAACCAUGCACCGAAGCUGCGGCAGCGACGCUUAUGCGUUGUUGGGUAGGGGAGCGUUCUGUAAGCCUGCGAAGGUGUGCUGUGAGGCAUGCUGGAGGUAUCAGAAGUGCGAAUGCUGACAUAAGUAACGAUAAAGCGGGUGAAAAGCCCGCUCGCCGGAAGACCAAGGGUUCCUGUCCAACGUUAAUCGGGGCAGGGUGAGUCGACCCCUAAGGCGAGGCCGAAAGGCGUAGUCGAUGGGAAACAGGUUAAUAUUCCUGUACUUGGUGUUACUGCGAAGGGGGGACGGAGAAGGCUAUGUUGGCCGGGCGACGGUUGUCCCGGUUUAAGCGUGUAGGCUGGUUUUCCAGGCAAAUCCGGAAAAUCAAGGCUGAGGCGUGAUGACGAGGCACUACGGUGCUGAAGCAACAAAUGCCCUGCUUCCAGGAAAAGCCUCUAAGCAUCAGGUAACAUCAAAUCGUACCCCAAACCGACACAGGUGGUCAGGUAGAGAAUACCAAGGCGCUUGAGAGAACUCGGGUGAAGGAACUAGGCAAAAUGGUGCCGUAACUUCGGGAGAAGGCACGCUGAUAUGUAGGUGAAGCGACUUGCUCGUGGAGCUGAAAUCAGUCGAAGAUACCAGCUGGCUGCAACUGUUUAUUAAAAACACAGCACUGUGCAAACACGAAAGUGGACGUAUACGGUGUGACGCCUGCCCGGUGCCGGAAGGUUAAUUGAUGGGGUUAGCGGUAACGCGAAGCUCUUGAUCGAAGCCCCGGUAAACGGCGGCCGUAACUAUAACGGUCCUAAGGUAGCGAAAUUCCUUGUCGGGUAAGUUCCGACCUGCACGAAUGGCGUAAUGAUGGCCAGGCUGUCUCCACCCGAGACUCAGUGAAAUUGAACUCGCUGUGAAGAUGCAGUGUACCCGCGGCAAGACGGAAAGACCCCGUGAACCUUUACUAUAGCUUGACACUGAACAUUGAGCCUUGAUGUGUAGGAUAGGUGGGAGGCUUUGAAGUGUGGACGCCAGUCUGCAUGGAGCCGACCUUGAAAUACCACCCUUUAAUGUUUGAUGUUCUAACGUUGGCCCCUGAUCGGGGUUGCGGACAGUGUCUGGUGGGUAGUUUGACUGGGGCGGUCUCCUCCUAAAGAGUAACGGAGGAGCACGAAGGUUGGCUAAUCCUGGUCGGACAUCAGGAGGUUAGUGCAAUGGCAUAAGCCAGCUUGACUGCGAGCGUGACGGCGCGAGCAGGUGCGAAAGCAGGUCAUAGUGAUCCGGUGGUUCUGAAUGGAAGGGCCAUCGCUCAACGGAUAAAAGGUACUCCGGGGAUAACAGGCUGAUACCGCCCAAGAGUUCAUAUCGACGGCGGUGUUUGGCACCUCGAUGUCGGCUCAUCACAUCCUGGGGCUGAAGUAGGUCCCAAGGGUAUGGCUGUUCGCCAUUUAAAGUGGUACGCGAGCUGGGUUUAGAACGUCGUGAGACAGUUCGGUCCCUAUCUGCCGUGGGCGCUGGAGAACUGAGGGGGGCUGCUCCUAGUACGAGAGGACCGGAGUGGACGCAUCACUGGUGUUCGGGUUGUCAUGCCAAUGGCACUGCCCGGUAGCUAAAUGCGGAAGAGAUAAGUGCUGAAAGCAUCUAAGCACGAAACUUGCCCCGAGAUGAGUUCUCCCUGAG